CACUCCUACGGGAGGCAGCAGUGGGGAAUAUUGGACAAUGGGCGCAAGCCUGAUCCAGCCAUGCCGCGUGAGUGAUGAAGGCCCUAGGGUUGUAAAGCUCUUUCACCGGUGAAGAUAAUGACGGUAACCGGAGAAGAAGCCCCGGCUAACUUCGUGCCAGCAGCCGCGGUAAUACGAAGGGGGCUAGCGUUGUUCGGAUUUACUGGGCGUGAAGCGCACGUAGGCGGACUAUUAAGUCAGGGGUGAAAUCCCGGGGCUCAACCCCGGAACUGCCUUUGAUACUGGUAGUCUUGAGUUCGAGAGAGGUGAGUGGAAUUCCGAGUGUAGAGGUGAAAUUCGUAGAUAUUCGGAGGAACACCAGUGGCGAAGGCGGCUCACUGGCUCGAUACUGACGCUGAGGUGCGAAAGCGUGGGGAGCAAACAGGAUUAGAAACCCGUGUAGUCCC
rnacentral:rRNA from 1 species